UACGUAGGUGGCAAGCGUUGUUCGGAAUUAUUGGGCGUAAAGGGCGCGUAGGCGGCCUGUUAAGUCGGCUGUGAAAGCCCGGGGCUCAACCCCGGAAAGUCGGCCGAUACUGGCAAGCUAGAGUACGGAAGAGGUAGCUGGAAUUCCCGGUGUAGCGGUGAAAUGCGUAGAUAUCUGGAGGAACACCGGUGGCGAAGGCGGCGAUCUGGCCCAACACUGACACUGAGACCCGAAAGCGUGGGGAUCAAACAGG
rnacentral:rRNA from 1 species